rnacentral:rRNA from 1 species
CGCGUAUCCAACCUGCCCAUCACUUGGGGAUAACCUUGCGAAAGUAAGACUAAUACCCAAUGAUAUCUCUAGAAGACAUCUGAAAGAGAUUAAAGAUUUAUCGGUGAUGGAUGGGGAUGCGUCUGAUUAGCUUGUUGGCGGGGUAACGGCCCACCAAGGCGACGAUCAGUAGGGGUUCUGAGAGGAAGGUCCCCCACAUUGGAACUGAGACACGGCCCAAACUCCUACGGGAGGCAGCAGUGAGGAAUAUUGGUCAAUGGACGAGAGUCUGAACCAGCCAAGUAGCGUGCAGGAUGACGGCCCUAUGGGUUGUAAACUGCUUUUAUAAGGGAAUAAAGUGAGAGUCGUGACUCUUUUUGCAUGUACCUUAUGAAUAAGGACCGGCUAAUUCCGUGCCAGCAGCCGCGGUAAUACGGAAGGUCCGGGCGUUAUCCGGAUUUAUUGGGUUUAAAGGGAGCGUAGGCCGGAGAUUAAGCGUGUUGUGAAAUGUAGACGCUCAACGUCUGCACUGCAGCGCGAACUGGUUUCCUUGAGUACGCACAAAGUGGGCGGAAUUCGUGGUGUAGCGGUGAAAUGCUUAGAUAUCACGAAGAACUCCGAUUGCGAAGGCAGCUCACUGGAGCGCAACUGACGCUGAAGCUCGAAAGUGCGGGUAUCGAACAGGAUUAGAUACCCUGGUAGUCCGCACGGUAAACGAUGGAUGCCCGCUGUUGGUCUGAAUAGGUCAGCGGCC